AACUAAUCCCCUGCAAAAGAAUUCCAUACAAUAUGAUCAUAAGAAAACCGGAUUUUCCUGAAAGAAAAUAACAAAUUAUGCCAAAGCCUAGCAUAAAUGAGAACCAUAUGACAACGGCAUUGCUCACACCCAAAUUGGAAAUACUUGUGAGCUUAAGCUGAAAUUGUCAAGACACUAGCCCCAGUGAAGAUCUCAAAAUAUUACAAUAUAUGUUCUCUUACUUGGAAGGUCGCAACUUGCAACUAAUUCAAUUUCUCUCUUACUCCUAAUAGGAGAAUGAGAGAGACCAUUACAAUAGAAAUAUAAAGGUUCUGAUGCUCACACCAACCCUUUCAAUGAUAUUGAUUCCUUCACCAAAAAUUUAAAAUUUUAUCAGUCAAAAUGUUGAAGAAAUCAUUAUUAUUUUCUAGAAUAUCUUUCUUGACCAUAUUGGAAGCCUCCCUAAUGAAGAUUGUCAUAGGCUAUGUUUCAGCCCAGAGUAGCCUUACCAGAUGAGAAUUUGAACCUCAAGUGGCACCAACAAGUUCUGAAUCCUCUUCUUCUUAGCACAACAGGUAUGACAAUAGGUCACUCACUUCAAUAGUUAUUACCUGUGACAUUCUACAAAACUGGAUGCAUUAAAGAUCUGCAGAUCACUGUAACAUUCUACAAAACUGGAUGCAUUAAAGAUCUGCAAUCACUUAGUUUACUUAUUUGCACAAGGUCAAAGCAAAAAAUGCUCUCAUAUGAACUAGCAGUGGCUCAACCACAAGAAUCAUAGUAUUCAUAACCACCAUAAAGGAUCCGCAUAUACCUAUACCAAGCAAUGGUACACAAUACAGUAAAAUUAGUUUCCAUUUACAAAGCCAAAUCAGACACCAUAUUUCAGCCCUCAGAGCAGGAAAAGUGAUUCAAGUUAAUGAUCAGAAAGAACUCAGUGACAUGAUUUUGGUGGCAUAUCAUAACAAACAGUUAUAUUGGUUUGUUAUAAUGCAUGACACAAAGAUAGUGUAAAGUAUAUCCUGCAUAAUGUAACAAUUAAAAAAAAAUCCCUAUUUUGUAUAACAGACAAGUUGUAUUAACAUAAC
rnacentral:lncRNA from 1 species